rnacentral:rRNA from 1 species
AGCUAUACCAUGCUAAUAUACCGUUUCUCGUUGGAUCACCGAAGUCAAGCAUCAUUGGGCACGGUCAGUACUUGGGUGGGUGACCACCUGGGAACACUUCGUGCCGUU